rnacentral:miRNA from 2 species
CAGCCUCAGCAGUCACUGCU